CGUGGGGAACCUGCCCCAUAGUCUGGGAUACCACUUGGAAACAGGUGCUAAUACCGGAUAAGAAAGCGGAUCGCAUGAUCAGCUUUUAAAAGGCGGCGUAAGCUGUCGCUAUGGGAUGGCCCCGCGGUGCAUUAGCUAGUUGGUAAGGUAAAGGCUUACCAAGGCGAUGAUGCAUAGCCGAGUUGAGAGACUGAUCGGCCACAUUGGGACUGAGACACGGCCCAAACUCCUACGGGAGGCAGCAG
rnacentral:rRNA from 1 species